rnacentral:hammerhead_ribozyme from 1 species
AUCUAGCGAGUUCCAAAUAGAACGAAACGCGCGUCAAACUGGAU